AUCAUUGCCCUGGGGCAUUGGGAUAUUUUUUUAGACAAGCGGAAUGGGUGUCUCCUACUGGCCCUCCAACACCACUUCCAGCAGCAUCUGGUCACUAGGACCAACCCUGCUUAGCUUCAGAUGUGCCCCAUUUUAUGAUCGGUCUUAUAGUUAUCAGGCAAACCAAUGCAGGACUAUUCCAACAGAGGACAAAAUGGGGUCAUUGCAUAAUUUCAUAAUAAACUGCAGCAGGCACCCAAUAUAAGUGGCACUCCCUCCUCUUCUGGGGGAAACAGAUGGAUGGUGAAAAGACUGAGUAAGAAUCCACCCCCUGCAGUACCCUCCAGAUUCAUACCAAGGACCACACAUUUGGAGAAUGGAAAAUGGUAGAAAUGAGAAGACUUUUUGGCAUUGUGGACAAAAAUGAAACCCUCAUUGGACCAAACUACCAGAGUAGCCUAAGAUGGAUAUGGUGGAUGAGUCAUUGAACACAACAGCCAACAUGGUCAGAAAUACAUUGAAAAAGGUAGCAUCAGUUCCUGAAGUCAAGCCAACAGAGAAGAAGACAAAGCCAGGAAAGCCUCAGAAGAUAAUCUAACAGGGAAAAGGAAAGGGGGAUACCUAGUCCAACUGAAUGUAUUCAACUGAAAUGUGUCUUCCUCAUUUAACCCAACCCCUCUGAAUCAGAGGUGUGGAGGGCUGCCUUAAUCGACAUCCACAUCUUCGCCGCCUGGGGAACAGUGGGUUAACUGCCUUGCUCAGGGGCAGAACGACAGAACAGACUCCAUGUUCCGAAACGGAUAGCAUCACACAGAAGAUAAUGCAUCCAUUUGCAUACAAGUUCCUAGACUUUACACCAAUUAGACAGUACUUCAUCUUUUCUCAACAUGUUUUAUUUUUAUAUUUCCCAUCAGAGUAUAAGAAGUGUUUUUAUAUAUAUUUUUAUAUAUAUAUAUGCAGUUUCAUGAAAAUGAAUAAAGUAGUGUUGUCCUUAA